UCACAGCUACAAGGAAAAGGGAUAGGCUGUGAAGAGCAGCACCCGGUAAGAUCAGCUCCACAGCGUGUUGCAGGAAGGGAAGCUGCUGCCCAUCAUGCUUCUAGCAAGCAUCAUCCCUCCCCGAAGGGUGCCCAUCUCAAUGAGGGGGCUUCUUGUGCUGCGCUGUCGCUGGAAGUCUCGUUUUGUUCACAGAGGCACUGCAGGUGCAAUGCCACAGCAAGUGUAGCUUCAUUCUGCUCAGAGAGAGUUGCACUGGGGUGUAUUCAGGUUUUCCUGUAACAAAAUGAUAAGGAGCAUGAAAUUGCUGGCUCUGUUGUGCAAAAGACCCUGAUUACGCAGGGCAGUGGGUACCAUGAAUUCUUAUGGGAGCAUUUAAGGAAAAAGGUUUUAGGCAGCAUCCUGCAUGUCUGAAUUUCAAGCCCCCCAGCUCAGUGCUUUGACUAGGAGAUUUCUACAUGACACUUAAGGCACAUGUCCUAUGGCUCGUCCACACUGCAAGUAAGUGAUGCUUUAACCAGCAGUCGCUGAGCUGAAGAAAGGCUGGUGUGAGCUGCGAUUUCAUCCUCCAAGGAGGCUGCAUUGGGAAUUGAGAUUCCCAACUGGUGUUCCUGGCCACGCUGCACCGUUUCUGUGUGGCCCUUGCGCAAGGAGCUUUCCUGCCCAGAAAGAUUCUCAAGUCAGAAAACAGAAGGUUUUGCCUAGGCUACGGCAGAAAACAGAUCUCAUGACCGAAUAUGUGGACUGUCCUGUUCUUUACAAGCUUGCUAUCAUUAAUCAGCCUUAAAAUAGCCUUCUCCUCCCUCCUCUGAUCUUAUAAUCUGGCCCUUCUCUGCAGGACAAGUGAUAAAAGCAUGAUGUUUAACCAGAGAUGCGUGCAUCUUGCAGCCAGCAAGCGGGGAGGGCUUUGCCUACUCAUUUUUACCAGGCAGCAGCUAUCCAGGAUCACUGACCUUGGUGUAUCUAAGAGAAAUCUGAGCUAGAAACAAAGCUAGAAAAUAAAUCUGGAGGAGGAUUCAUGGACACUGGCAGAUAAAUCAUCUUGGGACUCCAGAAUAAACCAAUGUGCUGACUGCGAGGAAUCUUGCGAGAAGGUUAAAAAUAUCCCUAAUGGAAACCAUCUCUCCACAAGCGAACCCUUCAGGUAACCGUGGUGCCCUUGACAACCUCGACAGUUUGGCGAAGCAGGCGAGCUGGAAAGCACGUGCUAGGAGAAGUUCCUGCUUUUAGCAAGGUCUCCAUGCCCUAAGGUGAAGUGGGUCUGUGGAGCAGCCGUGCCCAGGAUGCGGAUGAGCGGGUGGCUGUGGGUACUAAUGUGUUGCAUUACUUGGGCUGCACCAGAACCUGGUCUGAGUAUUCGAAAGAGUGUUUUCUAUACAUAAACCACUGCAAGUAAUUUGAUUCAACCUCUCUUGUACAUUAGUGAAACCCAAAUAUUUGGCACAGGAGGAAAAUAAAAGGCAAAACUGUGUAUUAAA